AACCUGCUAAAAUAAACAUUAAAAAUCGUAAGGAGAAAAUAAACAGCUUUGGAAGUUUAACUUGGUGUUUAUACUGAACAAGAGGUAUGAAAUUUAAGAAGCGACUUGUUAGAAUAUACACGUCUGUGAGGAGACAUAAACAAGAAUAGCAAAAAUCUACUGUACCAAAAGAAAUGAUAAUACAUACAUUGCAAGUGUUCUAUGAACAGAACAUAAGAUUGCUGCAUAAUUCAACAUGAAUGUGAAACAACAUUAAACAUUGUAUAAGGUAAAUGAAGAGAGCUGAUAGUGACGAUAUUGGUGGUGAGCAAUUUCAUUGUAUCAUAAUGUAGAGAAAGUGAGCAAAUAGCUUCCUGAGAAAAACUGAUCUAUUUAAGAAAAUUGCUGGGCUCAAUUGCGAUAGGUAGAAACUCCAAGCAAUGUAAAAUAUGGCCCACACCAUUAUUACUAGCAUGAACAUCAAACUUUAAAAAGUAGUUAACCAUUUAAUGGUUUUAGUAAAUUUAUACAGAAAAAGUAAGCAUUAUACUGUCCAGCAUAAAUAAAGGUCAACUUCAUUAUACUUUUUCUGUAAAAACCUAUUCUGACAUUAAAUGAGUCAACUUCCCAUUUGAAAGUUUACAUUUGUAUGUCGUUUUUCUACAAAAAAAAUUUCUAAAAAAAACUCUGGAAACGAUCUACUCAUGUAAUUUACACCCCACCCCCCACCUAAAGUUUUUUUUUUGUUUUCGCAA